GAAUACGUUCCCGGGCCUUGUACACACCGCCCGUCACACCACGAAAGUUUGUUGUACCCGAAGUCGGUGCCUUAACCUCGCAAGAGGAGAGAGCCGCCCAAGGUAUGGCCGAUGAUUGGGGUGAAGUCGUAACAAGGUAGCCGUAGGGGAACCUGCGGCUGGAUCACCUCCUUUCUAGGAGAGAAGGGUCCUGGAUGAAGCGCUCCUAUUUAGUCUUGUGAAGGAUCCGAGUGGAAGCCGGGACCGGAGAAAGACCGGGCCUGUAGCUCAGAUGGUGAGAGCGCACGCCUGAUAAGCGUGAGGUCGAUAGUUCGAAUCUAUCCAGGCCCACCAUCUGCGGGGAUGUAGCUCAGUUGGGAGAGCGCCUGCUUUGCAAGCAGGAGGUCAGCGGUUCGAUCCCGCUCAUCUCCACCACGGAGAAGGGACACGGCC
rnacentral:rRNA from 1 species